AAGUAUUGAAAGGCGGAAGGAAGCGUUGGUUUGGCGGGGGGAGUCAAAGACCAAACGGCCGUCUGGCACCGCAAUGAAAUCCUCUCCUGCUGCUGCGCUGCCUGCUACUGUUUUAUAGGACAGUUACGCUGAUCUGCUGCUGGGUGAAUGAGAACAGGCCAUAGGGGUUGUCGCUGGCUGCCAUAAUAAUCUUGGCAUGCUUUGCGAUGGGACUGAUUUCCAGACCAGAGGUGGCGGAGUUCAGAGUAAGCUGGUACUCACGGCGCUCUUCAGGCAGUUCAUCAUUCAGUGCCUGGCAUCAUGGAUUGUGACAGUGACAAGGGCCACAGUAGCACCAUUUAACAUGAUGAUGGUGUUGUCUUUGGGGGUGUAGUCCUGUCCUGCAGUAGCCUGGUUGGAUGGGGGUUGGUACAGGGCUGGCCUGGUCUGGUAAUGGAUUUCCACCUCACCUGAAGAGCCCUGCUCCCUCACUAUAGAGAGGGUCACAUUGACAGGAACCCCUGCGGGUUUGGAGAAAAGGGAGGUUACAUAAGCAAAUGUUAAAACACAGAACAAAUAAAAAAAAAUAAACAAAUGAUAUAUAUAUAUAUAUAUAUAUAUAUAUAUUUCCAUGACCUAUCAUGUCAUGGAAGAUGGCAAUAACAACCUGAAAGUAAAAUCCCACAUGGUUAUGUUAAAUAUUGCUUGAAGUCCAGCAUUUAGGUAUGCUACUCUACUAUUGUGGACUUCUCUGACAUUUUAGGCCAGCCUCCAAUACACAGAUCAGGACAAAUCCUAAAUUUCUUCAAAUCCUGGAAAUCGCUGCAGAUCUCUUUUACAGUAAAUCUCAAAGUGUGAUUACUAUAAUAGUUCCUUAAAAGACCUCAUCCAAAAAACAUGAAUGAUUGUUAUUCAGUAACCAGCUAAAUUUGCAGCAACUGUUACUGGAACAAAGAGAAAGCAAAACUGAUGGAUAUCUUUGAAUAUGUUGGCAAUAAUGUAAACUAAUUUGAGUAAAUGAGACUCCUCUGCACCAUGAUCCAGUACAAACGCACAUUUACUGAAAAAUCAU